rnacentral:misc_RNA from 1 species
CGUUAAAACCUCUUUCCGGAUGGAUAAUUCCCAUUCUUUCAAAAAGCUUCAUUGAUGUUUAUGUAGAUACCAUCUGUGUUAUAACCUCUGGCAUAAUCUAAACGAAUGCGGAGUCUUUCAUCCGGGUCCAGGUCAAAUCUGAAACCAAAUCCGUAGCUUCCAAGAAACCUUUCGUAUUGCAUGAACUCAUUGGUUACGGAACCGACGCCACCAAAAACACUGAAAACAACCCUGCUAAACAGCCAAUAAUCCAGGGGGUAUCCUCUUAUCUCUCCCUGCAGAACCGUCUGGUGAUUGUCCCGGUAGGCCCCUUUAUAGUAACCUCUCAUAAGUUUGGAGCCCCCCAUCAGU